AUACGAAGGGUGCAAGCGUUACUCGGAAUUACUGGGCGUAAAGCGUGCGUAGGUGGUUGUUUAAGUCUGUCGUGAAAGCCCUGGGCUCAACCUGGGAAUGGCGAUGGAAACUGGGCGACUAGAGCGUGGCAGAGGGUAGUGGAAUUCCUGGUGUAGCAGUGAAAUGCGUAGAGAUCAGGAGGAACAUCCGUGGCGAAGGCGACUGCCUGGGCCAACACUGACACUGAGGCACGAAAGCGUGGGGAGCAAACAGGAUUAGAUACCCUGGUAGUCCACGCCCUAAACGAUGCGAACUGGAUGUUGGGUGCAAUUUGGCACGCAGUAUCGAAGCUAACGUGUUAAGUUCGCAGCCUUGGGACUUCGGUCGCAAGACUGAAACUCAAAUGAAUUGACGGGG
rnacentral:rRNA from 1 species